AAGGGGUGUAUUUAUUAGAUUAAAAACCAAUGCCCUUUGGGCUCCUUGGUGAAUCAUGAUAACUUCUCGAAUCGCAUGGCCUUGCGCCGGCGAUGGUUCAUUCAAAUUUCUUCCCUAUCAACUUUCGAUGUUUGGGUAUUGGCCAAACAUGGUCGCAACGGGUAACGGAGGGUUAGGGCUCGACCCCGGAGAAGGAGCCUGAGGAACGGCUACUACAUCCAAGGAAGGCAGCAGGCGCGCAAAUUACCCAAUCCCGACUCGGGGAGGUAGUGACAAUAAAUACUGAUACGAGGCUCUUUUGGGCCUUGUAAUUGGAAUGAGUACAAUUUAAAUCCCUUAACGAGGAACAAUUGGAGGGCAAGUCUGGUGCCAGCAGCCGCGGUAAUUCCAGCUCCAAUAGCGUAUAUUAAAGUUGUUGUGGUUAAAAAGCUCGUAGUUGAACCUUGGGCCUGGCUGGCCGGUCCGCCUCACCGCGUGUACUGGUCCGGCCGGGCCUUUCCCUCUGUGGAACCUCAUGCCCUUCACUGGGUGUGACGGGGAAGCAGGACUUUUACUGUGAA
rnacentral:rRNA from 1 species